rnacentral:rRNA from 1 species
UACAGAGGGGGCAAGCGUUGUUCGGAAUUACUGGGCGUAAAGGGCGCGUAGGCGGCCUGUUAAGUCGAACGUGAAAUCCCCGGGCUCAACCCGGGAACUGCGUCCGAUACUGGCAGGCUUGAAUUCGGGAGAGGGAUGUGGAAUUCCAGGUGUAGCAGUGAAAUGCGUAGAGAUCAGGAGGAACACCGGUGGCGAAGGCGGUGGUCUGGGCCAUUACUGACGCUGAGGAGCGAAAGCCAGGGGAGCGAACGGG